AGUGGGAUACCAGGGUCAAAUGGUAGUUCUAAGUUUGCUAAGGAAUCUCCAUACUGCUUUCCAGAUUGGUUGCACCAAUUUGCAGUUCCACCAGCAAU
rnacentral:pre_miRNA from 1 species